AUGCAGCUGAAGUGAAGAAACCACCUGGGAAAACUUCUGAGUAUUUAUUUCAUACCACAAGCGCUGUAGGUGGCUGUAAGGUUUGGGAGGAUGUAGAUGAGAAGGAUUUGUAGGGAAGUACUGAAUUUCCAGUGGCCAGAACAAUAAGGAAUAAUAAGAGAGAGGCACCUCUCCAAGUAGAUGUAGGGCUUCACCGGAGUGGGACAAGGAGCAAAGCAUCCACCAGCCAUCAAAUGCCACAUGGAUCUGUGCUAAUUCCAGGAAUUCACCACCAAACAUGGGAAAACUACAGUAUUUAACUUGGCAAGAGAAUGUUCUAAUCUAGUCUUGACAAUGUUGGGGAAAAAACAAAGCAGAAAGAGAGAUCAGUCAGGAAAUCUCACAUCAUGUUUUUGAGAAGCAGGACCAGCUUUCCUGGACAGACACUCCUCAGAAAACUGUACUGACAAGAAAGGAC